GUCAAGGCCUACAAGAGGCAGGCUGAGGAGGCGGAGGAGCAGGCCAACUCUCAUCUGUCCAAGUGCAGGAAGGUGCAGCAUGAGCUGGAGGAGGCUGAGGAGCGCGCUGACAUCGCAGAGUCCCAGGUCAACAAGUUGAGAGCGAAGAGCCGUGACUCUGGCAAGGGUAAAGAGGUAGCUGAAUAAAGAAAACUGCCUGAAAAAACUGCCAGCUGUUUUUAAUCAUAAAAUAUGAUGUGAGAUACGCUGUAAAAAUAAAUUUUUUCCUUGUCACAGUUAAA